CGAACGAGGACGAGUGAAGCCGAACGUUCAGACUGCCCGUUUAAAACCUCGACACUCCUUCGCGCAUAGUUCUUCACACCACGUUAACCUGCUGGAGAGAGCAAAGACCUGCUAUAUAACUUUAACACAAAAAAGCUUCAUCAUCUUCCUAAUUCAACCUGGUGUCCAAAACAGAGUUUUUUCUGCUGCCACUAUCGUCAUGAGUGAACCUCAAAAGAAGAUGGGCUACCUGAACCAAUUUGAUGGGAGGCAAGUGAUUGUCUUCAAACAUUUGAUUCAUGGAGAAUCAUUGAAAGCCAAAUCAGUCCAAUUACACGCCCAGUAUAAAGCGACGUUCUAUGAGUGGGACAUGCAUGUUGCUUUCUUAUUCGAUUGUGAAGGAAAACGCUUCUAUCUCAAAGUCGGAAAGGACCUGGAGCUGGUUGAACAACCUGAAGAAAAUCUGCCGAAUAUCUUGGGUGAAGAAUACCGCUUUAGGUGGGAAGAUGAAAACGGGACUGAGUGGAGGCGUCUGGAGCAUCAAAAAGACAACGUGGUGAAGCUCCUCUGCUGUGAUGAAAAGGGCAACAUUUUCUUGGACGAAUCGAAGAAAGAACCUGUUAGUAAUUACCUGUUUAAUAUAGAGAUAUAAAUAUAAAGAUAGAUAGAUACAAAGAUACAGAAGAAAAAUACACAUUUUCUUUGUAUCUUUUUAACCUUGUUAAGCACAUCCCUGCUUGUACAUGUCUGUUAUCUUAUGACAGCAACAAGGAAAAUGUUAUAAUUUUGUAAGGAAUGGCAGAAAACUUUAGCCAUUCCUUACUAGAGAUAAUUCAGAAUUUUGUCUUCAUAUAUUUGGGUUCCUUCCUUCAUUAUGUUCCUGUGCUGAAUCCAAUUGGGAGAAGACUUGACUCCACAAAAGUGGAAAGAAGCAGGCUUUGGGACCAUCAUUAUUCAUCUGUGAUUGAAAGAGUAUAGUAUUAUCUUAGUACUGUGGAGCUCUGCGGCUUGCACUUGGCAUUACAGUGUAUUGCAAGACUGGCCAGUGUUCUAUGCUACAUGUAGACAUCGAUACAGUUCAGCAUCAACAAUAUGAAUAUUAUUUUACUAUAUCUAUUCUUCUUUUUUUAAUACUCUUGUGUUCUUUAUAUUUCUGCUGUUAUUGUGUACAUUGUGGAUUUCGUUUGGUAUUCUUACACCCUCAUUUCCUGUCUGGGACAACAGAUUUGAAAUGAGACGUGAACUAAAUAGAACUGAUUGCAUCGUUGUUUCCUGCCUUGGAUUAAUAAAGUACGACUUGUUUUA